rnacentral:RNase_P_RNA from 1 species
GUUGCAGCCUGUUCUGUCGCUACGGUUACUUGGAAAACGUAGAGGAAAGUCGGGACAACAUAGAGCGCCAUACUUCUUAACAGGAAGGUCUCGCUGUUGCGGGAACAGAAAGUGCCACAGAAAAUUACCGCCAAUGUCGAAUUUUCGGCAGGUAAGGGUGAAAAUGUGAGGUAAGAGCUCACACAUCAUGCUGGCGACAGUGUGUUGGGGUAAACCUUAUGGGUUGAAAGGCUAUGUAUAUCACGGCCCCGGUUUACCGGGAUAAUGGCUGCUCGUCGAAUUGCUGUUGGCGCAGCAAGCCGUGAGGGGUAAGCCGAUUGAGUCUGGCUGUGAAGCCAGUCCAAGAUAAAUGACAGAACUACUCGUAAUAGAGUUGACAGAAUCCCGCUUACAGGGCUGCAGCUUUU